rnacentral:tRNA from 1 species
GGGGUUGUGGCUUAGUGGUAGAGCACUUGCUUAACAUGCAUGAGGCACUGGGUUUGAUCCCCAAAACCACA